rnacentral:misc_RNA from 1 species
GAUGAAGAACGCAGCGAAAUGCGAUAAGUAGUGUGAAUUGCAGAAUUCAGUGAAUCAUCGAAUCUUUGAACGCACAUUGCGCCUCCUGGUAUUCCGGGAGGCAUGCCUGUUCGAGCGUCAUUAAAAUCACUCAAGCUUAGGUUUACCUACUGCUUGGUCUUGGAGAUGGAAGCCAAUUUAUUGGAAUCCUCUUCGAAAUUCAAUGGCGAAGACCCUUGCUCUCCCAAGUGUAGUAAUAACUUAUGUCACUGAAGGAAGCGAGAAAUCUUCUGCCGUAACCCCCAUAUUUUCUAUGAUUGACCUCGGAUCAGGUAGGGAUACCCGCUGAACUUAAGCAUAUCAAUAAGCGGAGGA